UACGUAGGGGGCGAGCGUUAUCCGGAUUCACUGGGUGUAAAGGGAGCGUAGACGGCCGAUCAAGUCUGGAGUGAAAGCCCGGGGCCCAACCCCGGGACUGCUCUGGAAACUGGUGGGCUAGAGUGCUGGAGAGGUAAGUGGAAUUCCUAGUGUAGCGGUGAAAUGCGUAGAUAUUAGGAGGAACACCAGUGGCGAAGGCGGCUUACUGGACAGUGACUGACGUAGAGGCUCGAAAGCGUGGGGAGCAAACAGG
rnacentral:rRNA from 1 species